rnacentral:rRNA from 1 species
CCUACGGGCGGCUGCAGUGGGGAAUAUUGGACAAUGGGGGCAACCCUGAUCCAGCCAUGCCGCGUGUGUGAAGAAGGCCCUCGGGUUGUAAAGCACUUUCAGUGAGGAAGAACGCCUGGUGGUUAAUACCCAUCAGGAAAGACAUCACUCACAGAAGAAGCACCGGCUAACUCCGUGCCAGCAGCCGCGGUAAUACGGAGGGUGCGAGCGUUAAUCGGAAUUACUGGGCGUAAAGCGCGCGUAGGUGGCUUGAUAAGCCGGUUGUGAAAGCCCCGGGCUCAACCUGGGAACGGCAUCCGGAACUGUCAAGCUAGAGUGCAGGAGAGGAAGGUAGAAUUCCCGGGGUAGCGGUGAAAUGCGUAGAGAUCGGGAGGAAUACCAGUGGCGAAGGCGGCCUUCUGGACUGACACUGACACUGAGGUGCGAAAGCGUGGGUAGCAAACAGGAUUAGAUACCCGAGUAGUC